rnacentral:rRNA from 1 species
UUUGAUCCUGGCUCAGGACGAACGCUGGCGGCGUGCCUAAUACAUGCAAGUCGAGCGGACAAUUGAGAGCUUGCUCUCAAUUGUUAGCGGCGGACGGGUGAGUAACACGUGGGCAACCUGCCCUGUAGACUGGGAUAACUUCGGGAAACCGAAGCUAAUACCGGAUAAUCUUUAGCAUCACAUGGUGCAAAAGUAAAAGUUGGGUUUUACCUAACACUACAGGAUGGGCCCGCGGCGCAUUAGCUAGUUGGUAAGGUAACGGCUUACCAAGGCGACGAUGCGUAGCCGACCUGAGAGGGUGAUCGGCCACACUGGGACUGAGACACGGCCCAGACUCCUACGGGAGGCAGCAGUAGGGAAUCUUCCGCAAUGGACGAAAGUCUGACGGAGCAACGCCGCGUGAACGAUGAAGGCCUUCGAGUCGUAAAGUUCUGUUGUUAGGGAAGAACAAGUACCGUUCGAAUAGGGCGGUACCUUGACGGUACCUAACCAGAAAGCCACGGCUAACUACGUGCCAGCAGCCGCGGUAAUACGUAGGUGGCAAGCGUUGUCCGGAAUUAUUGGGCGUAAAGCGCGCGCAGGCGGUCUCUUAAGUCUGAUGUGAAAGCCCACGGCUCAACCGUGGAGGGUCAUUGGAAACUGGGAGACUUGAGUGCAGAAGAGGAGAGUGGAAUUCCAUGUGUAGCGGUGAAAUGCGUAGAUAUAUGGAGGAACACCAGUGGCGAAGGCGACUCUCUGGUCUGUAACUGACGCUGAGGCGCGAAAGCGUGGGGAGCAAACAGGAUUAGAUACCCUGGUAGUCCACGCCGUAAACGAUGAGUGCUAGGUGUUAGGGGUUUCGAUGCCCUUAGUGCCGAAGUUAACACAUUAAGCACUCCGCCUGGGGAGUACG